rnacentral:lncRNA from 1 species
AUCGGGAAGAAGAUGGGGAGAGGAGAGAGAGGAGGGCACGAAGGGGACAUUAAGGUUAAAAGGGUGAUCGAUCGGCGCAGACGGCAACUGCAGGGAGCCAGGGGCUCUGCUGGAGAAACAGACGGGGAAAAGUGGGGGCACGGGGGGCACUAGUGGGGCAUGGGCAGCCAGGUGGGGAUGUCACCGCACUGCCCCUGUGCCAGGCGGCUGGAGAGCCCCUGAUCUGCUGCACGGUGCUGGGGGCAGCAGUGGGGCACAGGUGUGCUAACCACCCCCCUCCCAUCUGUCUGCAAUUGCCAGCAACUAACCUUACCAGAUAAAUGUGCUGCUGGGGGCACCUCCCCUCCCACUAGUUUGGAGGAAGCAAACCAUGUGUAGCCCCUGGGGAGGGGUCUUCAGAAGCAGCAUGUGCAAGAGCUCUGUUCCCAGGGGACCCAACAGGUACUUGGUGUUGAUGGAUGGGUUUUGUGACUGGAAAGUUGGUGCGAUGACUCCUCAAAUGGCCAAUGAAAAUCUUGUAGCGAGUGCUGAAGAAGUUAUUAAUGAUUGUAAGUUCCCACAGCUUUUGCCUGGAGGCCUCCUUUGUUCUCUUCUUUGUCUAAAACUCGUAUGAAGUAAGAGCUCACAAUUUACUUUGCAUUAGCAGUCCCCUUGCUGUAGCAGAGCAGGCGCUGCCUGGCUGGGCUGUAGGUGGAUCCGUGCGAGGUGCUCUGAGCAGGAUGGGUCUUUGCACUGCAUUUCUUCCUGGGCUCUCCUUUGCUUUAGCUCAUGACCUCGGUGCUGCACAUGGUCCAUGGCAUCCUGUUAGAUUUCGGUAACUGAGGGAAGUCUGCAUCAUACUGAUGCUGCCUUCACUGAAAACAUCGAUGCCUGCAAUUCAGCUUUAUCCGCAUUAACUUUAAUUUCUUGGGCCUGGAGGAGACUUCCCUCUUGCAGCCCAGUUCCAACCAGGGAAGAUCUGCCUCCUGCUGCCAUCCUCAGCAAGCUGCUGUUCCUUGCUAUGAAGGCAAACUGGGAAGUGCUCUCCUGGUGAAGGUGGGAGCUCACAACGAGAUUCUGGAGGUGAACUUGGUGGCGUUAGAGGAGCGGUGGCUGCGCCAUGCCCAGGAUGCUGCGUGUGCCACCGGGUGCCCAACGCCUGGUGCUGGGUGACCCAGCCCUUGCACCGCCCUGGGGCAGCGUCCUGCAGAGAGAAGCGUGCAGGAGGUGCUCUUCCUUUUGAAGAGGGAAUGGUGAUGUGCUAGCAAGGAUCUCAGAGCCUCUGUGAGCUGAUAAAUCCAAAAGAUGCCGGAUUGCAUCAGAACCAUCUUCACUGUGAACAACCGAGACAAGACCUGAAUCAGGUAACAGAAGUUGCUGUGUGCCAGUGCUGCGUGUGGCAGAGGUGUCUUCAUGUCAUGCUGGGCACGUCGCCCACUUACACCCUGCCUUCCCUGUCCGCAGUGGCCUCCUUCAUGUUUCAGUACAAAGUGAUGCUCCCAUGUAUGCACUGAUGAGGAUGGCUGCUUCCCACUGCCCCUCAGGCUCAAUCUGCUGCUCUUCCCAAUUUACUCCAGUGGUCUCUAGAAUCCUGCUGCUGCCCACCCCCGUGGCCUUGUUCUGUUACCCAGACUCCUUCCCUCUGAUGACUUCCUUGCUCCGAAGCUGUUUGGUGUUGGCCCACGCAGUCCUGGGGAUUAUUUGACCAUUGCUACCCCAGCAUUUGCUCCUUGCAAAACCCAUCAGUGCCCCGUCCUCCCCAGCAGCGCCUCCGCUCCGCACCACGGGAAGGCUGCAGGUAUCCCCGCAGUGAGCAGCGUGCUGCUGCCAGGGAUCCCCUGACACGUUGGCGUUCAUCAGCCUGUCAGCAUUCAGCUUUUUCUCUUCCAUCCUCCCGGGGGGGGGGGAUGGCCUCUGCUCCUCGCACGGCAGCCAUCCUGCAGCAGAGUUGCAGACAAGCCCGGCAGCAGCGCCAGCUCUGGGAGCUGUGCUCGGGGUGAGCCCACGCGCGGGGCUGUGACUGCGCUGGCAUCGGCCGUGGUGCAGCCGGGAAGCCAACGAGAACCUCUUUAUAUAAACUCCAUUUUCUGGUUGUUGGUUUUUUUUUUUUUCAUAAAAGCCCUUCUAAUUUGUACCAAAGAGGCUCGAGCAUGCCCCUGGGACUGGUAAAAAUAAUAAUAGCUUAAGUGGUAGAAGACUGUGAAUUUGAAACAGAAGGUUAUGAGACUUAAAAGUAUUACAAAAACGUCAACAUUGUAUAUCAAUAAAUGUAAUUUAGAUAUACA